GUGCUUGCUUCGGCAGCACACAGUAAAAUUGGAAUGAUACAGAGAAGAUUAGCACGGCCCCUAUGUAAGGAUGGCACACAAAUUCAUGAAAAUUAGUUAAAUGAU
ensembl:snRNA U6 U6 spliceosomal RNA